CUUUUAUAUUGUGGCAGGGAAAAAAUGAAAAUGUUUGCAUUACCUCAGUAAAGUUCAGGAAAUUAUGGCUCCUUUAAAAUCAUGUACCAGGCCUGGCACAGUGGCUCAUGCCUGUAAUCCCAACAUUUUGGAAGACCAAGGUGGGAGGAUUACUUAAGGCUAGAAGUUAGAGACCAGCCUGGGCACAAAAGCUAUUAUAGACCCCAUCUCUACAAAAAAAUUUAAAAAUUAGCCUGGUGUGGUGGCAUGUAUCUGUAGUCCCAGCUACUCGGGAGGCUGAGGCCAGAGGAUCGCUAGAGCCCAGAAAUUCAAAGGUGCAAUGAGCCAUGAUCACACCACUACCCUCCAGUCUGAGUGACAGAGCAAGACUCUGUCUCAAAAAAUAUAUAUAUAAUAUAAAAUGAAAUAAAACAUGUACCAUAUUGAUAGAGAAGAGUUUCAUUAUCUGGCAGAGAAAGUUAGGAUUUCUUUGAGUAUGUCUGAAGAUAUGAAUAGAAAAAAGGAGAGACUUCCAUUCUGCAUUAAAGUGCUACUUGAUAUAUUGAAGGUAGAUCAGGGUCUACUUAUGUAAAUGAUUCUUAUUUCUAUCUCAUUACAUGAUAUAUAAUAUCAUUUUGUUCUUUGGGCUGUCGUCAUUGUACAUCCAAAUACGAAGCAGUGUAGCUUUGUUUUCCCUAAGGGGUUUUCUGUAUGAUGUCAAGUGUUUAUAUCUUCAAAUUAUUUGAAGUUUUCUUCUGCAGAAUUUAGGUUUCUAUAAUAUAUAGGGAUAAGGAAUUGAGUAGUUCAGACUCCCUUUGAAAACUGUAGAAAACCUUUCUGUCAGAUCUUUCUUUUUUCUUCAUAUUCUCAUUUUCGCCCUCCCCACCCCAGCUUUGAAGCAUACAUAAUAGGUGUUGGUUUAUUUUUUCCUCAUGGAAUCAUGGGUAGUUUCAUUGCAGCUCAUCUCUUUCUGUUUGUUUCGUAUAGGGCUGAUAGUUCAGGACCAUUCAGACCCCAUGUUCAGUUCAUAUGCCUAUAAGUCCCACUACCUACUGAAUGAAUCAAAUCGUGCUGAGUUGAUGAAAUUACCUAUGAUUCCUUCUUCGUCAGCUUCCAAAAAGAAAUGUGAGAAAGUUAUUAAGACUGUUUAUUUGUUUCAAGGUGGAAGAUUGCUCUGCUGUGAAUCGUGCCCAGCUUCCUUCCACCCGGAAUGCCUAAGCAUAGAAAUGCCAGAAGGCUGCUGGAAUUGUAAUGACUGUAAAGCUGGCAAGAAACUACAUUACAAGCAGAUUGUUUGGGUCAAAUUGGGAAAUUACAGGCAAGUUUUUCCAAGAACAAAGAGGAAGUAUUCAAUCAUUGUGCAGACCAGUUUCAUACUCUGGAUACAGAGUGACUUGGAGAUAGAUAGGUAGACAGCAUGGACCUACUUCCUU
rnacentral:lncRNA from 1 species